UGGCGCAUGCCUACCAUGCAAGUCGAACGGUAACAGGUCUUCGGAUGCUGACGAGUGGCGGACGGGUGAGUAAUGCGUAGGAAUCUGUCUUUGAGUGGGGGACAACCCAGGGAAACUUGGGCUAAUACCGCAUAAGCCCUGAGGGGGAAAGCGGGGGAUCUUCGGACCUCGCGCUGGAAGAGGAGCCUACGUCUGAUUAGCUAGUUGGUAGGGUAAAGGCCUACCAAGGCGACGAUCGGUAGCUGGUCUGAGAGGACGACCAGCCACACUGGGACUGAGACACGGCCCAGACUCCUACGGGAGGCAGCAGUGGGGAAUUUUUCGCAAUGGGGGCAACCCUGACGAAGCAAUGCCGCGUGAAUGAAGAAGGCCUUCGGGUUGUAAAGUUCUUUCGUGGAGGACGAAAAGGUGGGUGCUAAUAUCGCCUGCUGUUGACGUGAAUCCAAGAAGAAGCACCGGCUAACUCCGUGCCAGCAGCCGCGGUAAUACGGGGGGUGCAAGCGUUAAUCGGAAUCACUGGGCGUAAAGGGUGCGUAGGCGGUGCAUUAGGUCUGUCGUGAAAUCCCCGGGCUCAACCUGGGAAUGGCGGUGGAAACCGGUGUACUAGAGUAUGGGAGAGGGUGGUGGAAUUCCAGGUGUAGCGGUGAAAUGCGUAGAGAUCUGGAGGAACAUCAGUGGCGAAGGCGGCCACCUGGCCCAAUACUGACGCUGAGGCACGAAAGCGUGGGGAGCAAACAGGAUUAGAUACCCU
rnacentral:rRNA from 1 species